GAAUGUAUAACAAGCGUUCUGGAAUGAUAAUCCACCAGGGGUAGAAGGCUACCUACUUCAGGCACUGGCAUGCCAGCAGCUACAGAAUACCCAAACCAGCCAAGUCCACAGCGAUGAGAGCUGCUGAGUGGACCAAUCACUUGCUUGUUCUGCAGCAUCUACCCCUGUAGUGUCACUGGAAUCCAUCUGCUUCUCCUGUCUAGAUCAUGCAUGAAGCAACAGGCUUUCUGAUUAAUGCCCCCCACUUUUGGGCAUGUGCAUGUAAGUCCCUCUGCUGUGGACAUGCGUUACCUGGCCAGCACAUCCUUUAUGGAGCAUCUUCUGAUUGGACUCGCUUGGCACCCAAGGCUCUCUCUCUGUACUUAGUCCCUAGGUAAAGGUGAAGCACAAACACCAGAAAGUACAGCCUUGAAGAAAAUAUGUCAGAAGGCAAGUGAGGGCCAACAUCUGUAAAUCCUAACACUUAGAAGGCCUGCAAGUAUAUAUGAGCACACAUGUAUAGAGUCACAAGAGGCUGUCGGAUCUGCUGAACUGACAGUUGGGAGUGCUGGGAACUGACGUGGGUUCUCGGCAGGAGGAGCCAGCACUUUAACCAGUGAGCAUCAUCACCUCCAGCCCUCCAUCAUAUUCUUAAGCUACUUAGCCAACUGAAGAGAUCUUAAGGAACCGGUAUCCUACAGUUAGCAUGGUUAUCACAGCAAAGACUUAAAGAAACAAGAAUAAACUUGAUGGUUAAAUCAUCAAUUACUAUAACAA